rnacentral:rRNA from 1 species
ACGAACGCUUGCUGCAUGCUUUAUACAUGCAAGUCGAACGGAGGCCCUAGCUUGCUAGGUGUCCUUAGUGGCGCACGGGUGAGUAACACGUGGGAACAUACCUUAUAGUACGGAAUAACUGCGGGAAACUGUAGCUAAUACCGUAUAUUCCAGUAAUGGGAAAGAUUUAUCGCUAUAAGAUUGGCCCGCGCAAGAUUAGCUUGUUGGUGAGGUAAAAGCUCACCAAGGCUACGAUCUUUAGCUGGUUUGAGAGGACGAUCAGCCACACUGGGACUGAGACACGGCCCAGACUCCUACGGGAGGCAGCAGUAGGGAAUAUUGGACAAUGGGGGCAACCCUGAUCCAGCAAUGCAGCGUGAGUGACGAAGGCCUUAGGGUUGUAAAACUCUUUCAUCGGUGAGGAUAAUGACAGUAGCCGAAGAAGAAGGACCGGC